rnacentral:lncRNA from 1 species
AUGGAAGGAACAAAAUAUCAAAAUCCCAAAAGUAUGAAGCCACAAAUGUUAGUAAAGAGUCAGUGCAGUUCUUGUGCAGUUUUGGAUGCAAUAUGAGCAAAUUCUAGCCUAAACUUGCAAAGCAGGAAGUAAAAAAUUAACUACCCUCCUGUUGCCUCUUUGAUGAUUUGCUCUGAGUGGGAAAGGGGAUCGGCUUCUCUCCUUACAAACCUUAAACAGAGGUCGAAACAUGUAGAAAGUGUCAUUUUGUAUUCCCUCAUCUCUAUAACUCUAGAAGGGACCUAUUUUCUUAGCCAAAUAUGAAUGCCUCUUAGAUGAAUCCUUCCUCUCAUGUAAAGUACCUUAUCUUACCAGCCCAUUUCAGGAAAGAACUGCUGGCUUGAUAGCAGAAAUCUUAUUUUUAUUCCUUUUAUUUGAAUGGGAGAUUUGGAAAUUGACUUAUGUAAAUAGUUCAAUGCACCUGAUACUAUUUUGUGGAGUUUAUUAAACUACUUUAAAAGAUUGUACAGUGUAUUCGUUGUAUGUGUGUACACACAGUCUGGUACCUGACAUUCAACAGUGACUCUUUAUAGCCUGGCUUGGUUUUAUUCAGACUGUUGACUAUUGUUUUCAAGCCUUGUACACUGGACUCUACCUCUGAAUAGGAAGGUUUUCUCUUUGCAUCAGUGAGUGUUAACUGUAUUAAUUGGUUGUAUUUCUUGCACUAAGGAUUUCAGUUGUACUGUUUAGUCUGAAUUACUAGGCAUGUAAGUAUAGGCUCAUUUAAUUUUUCUAUACAAUAAUGAAAACUUAUUUUUGUUUUCUGGGUUGUUCUCAGGUUGCCAAAAUAAAAAGGAGAUAAAACCAAUCUAAUAGUAGUGUUGAUAAAUCAUAGUGACUGUAACUUGUUUGCAAAGUAGUUCGGUGUCCAACAGGUAACGCUGGAUGCUGUUUGGGAAUGCUAUCUCAGUGCAGCCUCUGGUAAAGAGCUCGUUGUCAUUGUUGAAGGAUGAAGAAAGCCACAGUUUUUUGACUAUAGACUUGAUUUAAACAGCAAAUAUAAUUUGUUGAAGAAUAAACACACAUUCCGGUAAAUUUUGUUUUACUUUUUCACUGGGAAAAGAAAGGAGUUAAGCUAAAAUAUAAUGAGAUCCUAAGCACCUAAGAGGUGCUUUCAUGCCUUAAUGUUCAGGUGAGAUCAGCUGUGACUUCAUGCCUCCAGCUGUUUAAGAUAGCUCUUCUGUUCUGUGUUCCUUCUCCAUGGUCUUUACCUGGGAUAUCUCCAACUUGGUGUUUCCCUUGCUUCAGGGAAUUUUGCUGCUUACCUGAGUGUCAAAGCAGAAUUUGGUGAGUUAUGAUUUUGCAUAUUCUUGCUGCUUUAGGGACAGCAACCUGGGGCCAUAUUAUAAGCUUUGAGUUUAUAUAUGUAUAUAUUCUUAGUUCACUAUAGGUAUUUAAUAAGUUAAAAAUAUAUAUGUACAUAGAACAAAUACUGUCUGCCUUCCUGCUAUAUUUUUUUAAUUAUGGUGGUAUAAGAUUGGACAGUGUUUUCAGAGUGGCAAUACUGAAUCAUGAUUGUGAGGCUGGCCUCCUAGUCUAUGUAAUCAUAUUCUGCCUCAAAACAGUAAAAUUGAGCAGGUUUUAGGGGUGAUGAGUAAAUGAAUUCUAAGAAUAGUGAGAGAAAGUGUGUAUGUCUUCAGUGAUUGAGAAACUGAAGCCCACCUGGGACUUCAGCCAGGUGAGGAGCUAAGUUAGCCAGUAGGAAUCAGAGCACAUUCUUUCCUUAAAUACUGUUUCUGUGUUAUAAACCACUAUGUCCUGGUCCUCAGUGGAGUGGAUAUCUCAAGACUGAGCCUUGGCAGUUCUUACAAACAUGAAUGGUCUUCUGAAAAGCAAGCUACAGAUGAUGCCUAUCCUUGUUAAUAGGAGGAAAUAGGAAGCAUAGCCUGGAGCAGAACUGGGGAAAGAACUUAGCUUAGGGCUAAGAACCCCUCAGCUCUAUGCGUAGAAAGAAAACUCCAGCCUAUAAUAGGAAUAACAGUUCAGCCUUACUGAAUGCAGAGCACAGAGCAGCACCAGAAUGCCCUCCCAGAAGCAAGCUACCUGACAGCUCCAUUAGAGACAAGGAAGUCAGUGAGGCGUGUGCUCACACUGCUGAUGACUUCAACAAGCCAUACCCCAUGCUACUUGUUAGAGCUUCUUACUGAGUUUGUAUAUGUCAAGGCCACAGAUCCUCUGGUGCCACUUUUACUAGAAACUUCUUCGGUAAGCAAUACAAAAAUGACUACUUUUACUGAUGGUGUGUCAUUAGAAGCUGCUUUGUGUGUACACUGCUGCAGGGUUAGCAAUGCCCAAGCCAGGACUUGUUCCAAAAAAACAUGUAGAGUUCUCCAAGAACCUGUUUAUACUAAGAAAUGCCCUCCAACAUGUCUGACUGAAUGGCAUUUGAGAUUUAUAGGUCCUAGUAAACCAUCUUGUAUCCUUUUGUGAUUUGUUUGUGGGCAGGGAACUUUAUUCCUUUUGAGAACUUUUGUUUAUAAAUAGAUUUAAAUGUGCAAUCAAAAACUGUCAUCUCAAAAUAAAUACAGUUUUGACAAAAAUG